CGUGAACCCCAGCGUGCCGAGGAGGGUUGUGAGCAGAGCAUAAGGUAAUGGCAUUCUGGGGAAAGGGUGCAGUAAAUGUUCGGGCACCAAGAGAGGUACAGCGCGGUGACGUGCCGCUCACCUGCAGCGCGGGAAUGAGAUCCACUGACUGGGUCGGAAGAGGGAGGAGGGGAGACGACGCCUACCUUCUCUUCACUUUACAUCCUAGAAGAAAAGACCUUAUAUUUAAAUUAAGCUAAUAGAAAAAAAAAAAAAAGUCUGCGUUUGAAUUUAAUCCUGGCUUUACUGCUAAUAGCCAGGGUGACCCUGGCCUAACUUAAUUUUCAGAGGCCCCACUUGGCCCUUUGCCUAUCUAAGAGCUAUCCUGAGGGAUGUGAGAUAGCUAAGGCAAAAGCUUUUAAAAAUGUUUGUAGGAUUUAAAGGUGACAUUGUUUUGGACUUGGAUUCAUUAUGUUUUUGUUUUUAUUUUAUUAAAAAUUUUUUUGAAAGUAAUCUUUACACCCAAAGUGGGGCUCAAACUCACGACCCCCGAAAUCAAGAGUCGCAUGCUCUUUGAACUGAGGACCCCCGAGAUCAAGAGUCGCAUGCUCUUCGGACUGAGCAGCCAGGCACCCCUGGAUGUAUUGUUAGUAACGCAGAUACAAAGGCCUACUGCAGGCUGCUAUGGCAGAACUUUUUUGAAUUAAGGAAGACUUUUAAUAGCCACAUGUUAGAAAAAGCUAGUUCACAGAACUCGGAACCUCGUCAAUAUGCAGAGCAUAAAAUAGAAAACUAGUCCAGCAGCAGGCUGGACUUUCUAAGGAAACAAUUUAUUUCAGAACUAUAUACAUCGUACACUUUCUCAGUACAUUUUUUAGAUUUUUUUUAAUAAUAUCUAUUUUAGAAGGAGAGACAGAGCGUGAGCGGGGGAGGGGCAGAGAGGGAGGGAGACAGAAUCUGAAACAGGCUCUGCGGUGUCAGCGCAGAGGGGUCUUGAACUCAGGAACAGCGAGAUCACGACUCGAGCUGAAGUCGGUGGCUUAACCGACUGAGCCAGCCAGGCGCCCCAAAUUUCUCUGUAUAUACUGAAUUUAUAUAUCUAUCCACACAACACACGUGCGCCUCCAGCACAUAAACAGAAUUAUUCAAAGUUCCUGUAGGUCAGAGAUGGUGUCUGUCAUGGUACUAUAACCAAGACCCUCAAAAAGUUUGUGUCCAGGAAACUAGAUGUAAAUUUCUAAGUCUAUAUUGUACUUAUUAAUUUUAAAUCUAGGGAUAUGAAAUUUCAUUUCACUCAACAUGUUCCAAAUGAGGUCUUAUAUCUAACAGGUACCCAGCAAGAAAUCGGUGUUGUAAAUUAAUCUCAUAGCAAAUGUAUAACAAGAAUCUAAUUUCAUAAAACUGUGUUGUAUUUUGCUGUUAUUUCUGAACUUUUGCUUUGAACUCUGCUACCUUGAAAUCUUGUUUAAUGAGCUAAAUCUUCAGGCUAAUACUCAUAGUUCACCAUCCCCCUACUCUACAUUACUAGCUGGCCCGUUAGAGAAAGUGUGCAGAUUUCUACUUUAGGGUAUACCUGAAAGUGAAAUUGAUUAUAUGUUUCUUCUACCUACUAAACAAUACCAAAUUCUUUAUUCUAAAGUGGUUGUAUCCAAAGUGGGUACAGUGUACACUUUGACCAGUGGCACAUGAGAGUUCCAGUUACCCAGCAUUUUUGCCAGUAAUUGAAAUUGUGAGGUUUUAAUUUAGCCAUCCCAGGUACAGACUGAUAUCUCAUGGUGGUUUUAAUUUUUUAUAAUGAGGUUAAACAUAUUUUCAUAUUUAUUGGCUGUUUGCUUCCCUCUUUGUGAAAGUACCUGUUCAAACCUUGUGCCAACUUUUCUAUUGGGUUGCUUGCCUUUUUCUUGAUAUAUGCACUUCUUUACAUAUUCUGGGUACUAACUGCUCCUCUGUCAGUUAUAUUGCAGACAUUUUCUCCCAGACUGGCUUAUCUUUAUAGUAGCUAUUGAUCAACCCAAGUUCUUAAUUUUAAUCAGUAAUAUUGGCUUAAUGUUAGCUUUAGGUGUUAUGUUUAGUGCUGUUUACAAAUUCAGAAAUAUUUUAAGGAUUAUAAAGCUAUUCUGUAUUUCCUAGAAGCUUUAUGGGUUGCUUUUCAUGUUCUGAUUCUAUUUCACUUAGAAUAUAUUUUUUGGUAUGGUGUGUAUGCAUUGAUUUUUCAGAUUAUGAAUUCAAGCUAUAGCUAAUUUUUUAAUUAAAUAUUUAUGGUAUUUAUAAAGCUUUUUAUAAGACUUUUUGUUGUUUUUCUAUAGAUACAUAUUAUUGAGAAAUAUUUAAUUUUUUAAGGCUCAAGAUGAAAAAUCAUGAACCAGAUGAUACUGUCAAGGAAGACUUAAUUUUCAAUAUCAUAACCAGAAAAAUUAACCACCUCCCAGAAGCAGAAAGGUAAUUUAAUUUAAAUUUAAUUUAAAAAUAUCUUUUACCAGGUGGAUUUUCGUCAUUCGUUCAUUAUCUCACAUUUAUUUGAUUUGAAUAUAAACAUAAAAUGUCAGAAGGAAACUGAGUUCUUUUUCUUGCCUUACUGAGAAAACCCAAGACCAGGAGAGGUUAACUAUUUUGCUUGAAGUUAAGGCUAGAAUUCAUGCCUUUGGACAUAUCUAAUUAUAUGAUAGUGCUCAGUUUUUCCAUUUGGGUAAGAGUAUAGUCAGUUGUGAACAUUUAUAGACUCAUCUAAAUAAUAGACCUUUAAGAUGGCUUUUAUCAACGUUUUUUUUUUUUUUUUAUUUUUGGGACAGAAAGACAGAGCAUGAACGGGGGAGGGGCAGAGAGAGAGGGAGACACAGAAUCGGAAACAGGCUCCAGGCUCCGAGCCAUCAGCCCAGAGCCUGACGUGGGGCUCGAACUCACGGAGCGCGAGAUCGUGACCUGGCUGAAGUCGGACGCUUAACCGACUGCGCCAUCCAGGCGCCCCUAAGAUGGCUUUUAAAUUGUCUUGUCAGUUUAUUUCUAGAACUAUGUUUUACAGUCCAAGAGAGUGCCAUGUGACACACAUGACAAGAAAUGCCAGAGAAAUGAGAUCAUGGCUUAAAGAUCUGUAUUAUUAAAUAGAAAAAGGCUAUAUAGGAAACAGAGUAUCUCUGAAGACAGCACUGAAUAGUGCAUUUCUAUAGCAAGAAGACCUCUCUGAAUAGGUUCCAUUUAAAGAGAAAUUAUGAGACCAAAAAGCAUGAAGGCGAGCCAGCCUAGGGAGGAGAGAGACACAGUAUCUCAGGCAGAGGGGAUGGUAUAUGCCUAGGCCACAAGGUGGCAAAAUGUUGAUCAUACCUGAGGAACCAGUGUUACUGAAAAACAGGGAAGUGGGCAUAAGAUUGAAGGAAAAGGAAGAGUUCUAAGCAGGGAAUGAUGUGAUCCAGGUAACAUUUCUAAAGAACAUUCCAGUUGCUUUGGGGAACUAGAUUUAAGGUAGGAGAGAAAUUUAAGACCAGUAAGAAAACUGGUAUAGUAAUGUUGGUAGGUGGUGAUGGCAGGGGUGGGGUCAUUGGACAUGAAAAAGGUGGAUUUGAAAUACAUUUUGGAGUAAAUUCCAGAUACAUUCUUGAGUAAAUUCCAGUCUUGCUGCUACUUAGCCCAACAAGAGAGAACCUAUAGACCAAGGGCAGUAAUAAGAACUUGGUGAGAUUUCAUAAGCUGUAUAUCCUACAGCUCUUCCCCCACCACACACACACACACACACACACACACACACACAUUAUACGUCCUUUUGUUGUUUUCCUGAGGGAGGUAACAGAACUUUUCAAGCAAUAAAGGGCCUGUGUCCAUGUUUCCAGCUCAGUAAGGUAGAGCCAGAAAGACUGAAAUAAUAGGUGGUGGCAGCUUUGAAAAGAGCAGGCUAUCUCACUGGGACUUUCACCAAAUAAGAAUGCAGAAACAGUGGGGAAGCAAGCUGGAACUGCAUAGUAAGUAAGCUUUAAUUUGGAAGUAAAAAUUGCUCUCAGGCAUUGGCACCCGAACAGAGCAGAUGACAGUGUCUCCUUAUCUUUGACUUAUUUCAUAUUUUUACCAUUCCUAUUUUCUUAUCCUUGUUUUCUUAAGUUUGAAUCCUCACCUGGUCUUGCAUUAUCAUUAGAUAUGUUUAAUAGGUAUUUGAAAAGUCCUGAGGCGUAUGAAACUUUAAUAUCAAAAACUUCACUUUCUGAUCUACAAAAUAAUUUUAUGUACCAUAUAUUUCAUUGCCACUUAAUUGUGAUCUUCUAUUUCAUGUGUUUCAUUCAUGUUGUCUAGUUGUUUUGUGUGUGUCUUGCCAAACAGUCAUGAGUUUCUAGUAGUAUAGGCACUUUCUUGGAAAACUGACUUGCAAAGGAGCUGCUAGAAACUGUUUUGUACUGAAUUACUAACUAAAAAAUGUGACUCUAAACCAUAAGAAAUUAAAAUUUGGGAGGCCAUAAACUUUGCUAUUCAAAAAUACAAAAAUACGUAGGUCUUUCACUUUCAUGGGUUUUCUGUUAUUGUUUGGAAGGUUCUCUAGGCUCUCCUCACUUUUUAAAUAUAUCUUGUGUACCCUAAGUUUCUAAACUGCCUCUCUCUUAUACUUCCAUUACCAUUUCAAUAGACUUGUUUUAUCUCAUGCUCACAUGUCUUUCAUCCUCCAAUAAUAAACUAUGAAAACACUGAAGGUAGAAGAUAAUUUUUUGUCUCCAGCAUCAAGUCUGCUGCGUGUAGUAGGUACUCAGUGAUUGAAUGACAAGCACCAUUAUGAUUGCAGAGUGACAGGUAAGAAAAGUAAUGCCUUAUACAAUGUAGGAAGCUCAAUUAGGAAUUCCUAGAAAAACUUUUUAAGAUGAGUGUUAACCACAGAAAUUAGGGGGCAUUGUGUGGGUCGUCUGGCUAAAUAAAUAAUGAGAAAUUUUUAGAGUUUGAUGCCUGUGUUGUAGAUGGCAAGGCAGGUGGUAGAAAAGUGGUAGGCUAAAGAGUCUGGAGUACUUUCAAUAUCCAGCAAUAAGUUUAGGUAUUAUUUUUUCCAAAACUAAAGAAAGCAUGGAACAUGCAUUUUAAGAUUCAUACAUACCUUGGCUAAAAACCAAUUCUACCACUUACUAGCUCAAAACAUCAAUUUCUUCUUUAUUUCAGUGGGUUGUUGUAAAGUACCUAGCAUAGGAUAUCCCUUAAAUAUUAGUACUCCUCCACCUCCCUAUCCUGAUUCUAAUCCUUCAGGGUAAAGUGAAAGGAAACCUAUUAAUUUCACCUUAAUGAAUGCCUUUUAGGUGUCAGGUGCUACUGAAAACAAGACAAAUAUAUCUUUGUAUCCAUUAUCUUCAAGUUAUUUACUUGAAGACUGGUGGGGAAGCCUGACAUAGAAGUGUUUGUAAGAUAGAUCCACCUUAUCAUCUGUUGUGCUAGAGUUAAGUAUUGGGUAUUGUGGGAGCCCAAAGAAGAGGCAUUCACAAGACCCUUCAGAAGCUCUUCCCGGUUACAUUGUUGUGGGAAAUUUCUAUACUGUCUCAUGCAAAAUCACAAAGUCCAUUCAGCAAGAUCUAAAUGUAUCACUCUAUCCUUAAUUGUUGAACAAAUUCAAAAGACCUUAGAAUAGAAAUCUAUACAUAAAACAUUAUUCUAAAAGGUUUUUGUUUUACGGAACUCUAAGGGAUAAAUGUGGUAUCCUGUUAUUCCUAUAAUUCUGUCGUGUUUACACCAGAAUUGUUGGACAGCACACACAAAAAAAGUUACUCUUUUUUUCUCACCAUUCAGGAAUCUAUUUGAACAUGGAUCAGUUUAUAUCGGACUUAAUGCUGCUCUCUGUGGUCUAAUAGCAAAUAGUCUUUUUCGACGCAUCUUAAACGUGACACAGGCUCGUAUAGCUGCUGGCUUACCAAUGGCAGUGAUCCCAUUUUUGACUGCGCAUGCAUCUUACAAA
rnacentral:lncRNA from 1 species